CUCACAUUGUUUCUUUUAUAAGAAACUAGACCCAAUAAGCUUUAGUUUCAUAUUUUAUUCAUCCUCUAAUUCAAUCUCUACAAUUUUUGGUGAUUUUUCAAAGUUACACUACUGCUGCUGUCCAAAACUGCUUUAGUGCAAAAUGUUGAUUUCCAUUUUCCCCCAAAUUUCACAGUUUAUACAAUUCGGUCCUUUCUCAAUUAACCCCUCAAUUAAUCUAAUUUUCUCAAUUAAUACUUUACCUAGACAUUAUAAGUUGUUACACAACUAUUGAAAUUCAGAAUUUCCACAUAUAACUCUAUCUUCAAACUCUUUUACUAUUAGGUCCUAAACAUUCACUUUCUAUUCAAUUCUUUCAAUAAAAUCAGCAUAUGAACAAUUUAAAGCUCUAAUUUCAUGAUAAAUCAUCAUAUAAUUCCAGCACAUUUUCAUAUCAACUUUCAACUUCUUUCAUAAAAUCAAAAACUAAUGAAUUUAACAAAUGGGCCUAGUUGUAAAAGUCAUAAAAAUACAAAAAUUUCAAGAAAUAGUCAAGAAUUGAACUUACUUGUAAUAAAAAUAUGAAGAACCAGCUUGAAGAAGCCCUUCCAUGGUGUUUUAGCUGAU
rnacentral:lncRNA from 1 species